rnacentral:rRNA from 1 species
UACGUAGGUCCCGAGCGUUGUCCGGAUUUAUUGGGCGUAAAGCGAGCGCAGGUGGUUUAUUAAGUCUGGUGUAAAAGGCAGUGGCUCAACCAUUGUAUGCAUUGGAAACUGGUAGACUUGAGUGCAGGAGAGGAGAGUGGAAUUCCAUGUGUAGCGGUGAAAUGCGUAGAUAUAUGGAGGAACACCGGUGGCGAAAGCGGCUCUCUGGCCUGUAACUGACGCUGAGGCACGAAAGCGUGGGGAGCAAAUAGG